rnacentral:rRNA from 1 species
AUUGAACGCUGGCGGCAUGCCUUACACAUGCAAGUCGAACGGUAACAGGUCUUCGGAUGCUGACGAGUGGCGAACGGGUGCGUAAUACAUCGGAACGUGCCCGAUCGUGGGGGAUAACGAGGCGAAAGCUUUGCUAAUACCGCAUACGACCUACGGAUGAAAGCGGGGGAUCUUCGGACCUCGCGCGGCCGGAGCGGCCGAUGGCAGAUUAGGUAGUUGGUGGGAUAAAAGCUUACCAAGCCGACGAUCUGUAGCUGGUCUGAGAGGAUGAUCAGCCACACUGGGACUGAGACACGGCCCAGACUCCUACGGGAGGCAGCAGUGGGGAAUUUUGGACAAUGGGCGAAAGCCUGAUCCAGCCAUGCCGCGUGCAGGAUGAAGGCCUUCGGGUUGUAAACUGCUUUUGUACGGAACGAAAAGCCUCUUUCUAAUACAGAGGGGUCAUGACGGUACCGUAAGAAUAAGCACCGGCUAACUACGUG